rnacentral:sRNA from 1 species
UUUAUACAUGGGUACUAAUAAUGUGUC